rnacentral:lncRNA from 10 species
GAUGGCAAACCAGGAAAACAGAGCUCAGUACAGAAGGGAGUUGGGCAGCCUCUGUUCCUGUUUGGCUCUGUCCUUGAAGAAAGUGAUAAGAAGUGCACAGAUUUUGGAAUUAAACAGACCAUGGUUUGAAGUCUGGAUCUUCCAGUUGUAACCAGGUGGCAUUGGGGCCUAUGGUUCAUCCUGCAAUAUCAGAGAAUACACAACUGUUGGAAGCUCAUUUGUGCAGAAGCACUAGUUAGACCAAGUCCCAGGAUGGUGGGGACUUGAACUGCCUCAUGCACAUUGUACCCAAGAGCCUGGCCCAUGAAGGUGAAUCAGUGGAUACUUGAAUAAAAAGAAGAAUAUGCGCUGAAGUUUUCUUUGAGGACAUUUUUUUUUCUUUCCAUAGUUUUGAGCAUCUCUGAUGUUUUGAGAUUUCUGCCAGUCUUUGAGGAUGUAAUGCUCAAUUAGACUUGUUCUCUGUCCUCAAAGAGCUUAUAUAAUAGUUAGUGAGCUAAUUCUCCUGUUUUGAGAGACAGGAGAAAAUGUUAUGUUAUAAUGAGUCAUUCAGACUCUAUCUACUAGGCCUGACUUUGUUACUUUUUAAAAAGCAUUCUUCCACUCCUGCUUGGAUAUCUCUGUAUACAAGACUCAGAGACACGUAUGACGCCCCUUAGGAGGGGUUCU